rnacentral:tRNA from 1 species
CAUUAGGUGGCUGAAAGUAAGUAAUGGUCUCUUAAACCAUCCCAUGGUAAUUAACACCUACUCCUAGUGG